rnacentral:lncRNA from 1 species
AUUUCAAAUCGCCUUUCCUCAUGCUCCCCACGCUUCAGAGCAGGGUGCUCCUGUAUCCCAUAAAUACCUUCGAGAAGGUGGCGCUAAGAUGCCAGUGCUGGGCAGGAAUCUUGAUGAACACUAGUUGUGGAGUCAGCCUUCUUCUGUAUGCUGGAGGAAGCCUCAAGUCUAAGGCCUGUUUUUAAUCUCAAAAACAAACAAGUAAACAAAGCAACAGCAGCAAACUCGCCUCAACUGUAGAGCAAAUAAAUCAGAAUAUAUGAAGCUUAUUGCUUCUCAUCUUGGAAAUUGUUUCUCAGAAGACCCAAGCUAAUCCACCUAAUCAUAAUAUACAAGACCCAGAAAACAUCUUAAAUUCUGAUAAAUGAGUGUAACAACGUCUGUUUCCAGAUUGAGUACCUAGAAGGAAAGAAAGCAGAAGUCCCUCAAAAUGUUCUCAGUGGUUUCAAAGAAAAUAUAACCAGGUGAUCAUCUGGAUACAUCUGUGACCACCUGUCCAAAAGGUAUGCUUAUCCAGAUCCAGAAGAUGGUCUCAAAUUGGGUGGAUCUUGAUUAAUCUCCACUUCACACUAGAUGACAUGAGGCUUGAAUAGAGGAUAUAGUGGAUAAUACAAACAGAUUUGAAAAUGCUGGGAUUAUAUGCCUCAACUAAGAAGAUAAAAUUAAGGAAGACAACCAGACUUUUUAUGAAGUUACAUUCAGAGUCCAGUGAUAAAGGCAUAAGGUAAGAUUAGAUGAGCUUUUUCAAAUCUUACCAUUACGCAUUAAAAUUUAUCAUUUAAACAUGCAUUAAACUUUACUGGGUCCAUAAAUUCUGAGUUCUGGUGUGGAGUUCUGAAGCAGAGUGAUCUGGUUCUGGGGUUAUUCCUAAAUAUAAUAAAAAUGUUAUAAUCUAAAAAAUGAAUGGUCUGACCCACUGAGCAUUUAAAUGACCUCGUUAUAUUGAAACACAAGUUGGAAUGAAUUACUUUUAUCUAUGAGAUAAAUUCAACAGGGGAAAUAGAUAAGAACCAGUGAGCUGAGUAUGUAAAUGUGUAAGAAUUCCCUAGAAACUUCUGUACAGUUUCCCAAAGAGUAGCAUAUAUGUGCAUAUGCAUACAAACACAUGUAUGCACACAUAUGUCCAUUUCUUUUUCAAGUUAAAUGAGAGAUAUGUUGGUUAGAGAAUUUCGGUUGUAUUCUUAACUUGCUUCAAAAUUUCUGAACAGAGUCGGACUCCUCAAGUUGUAUGCCAUAGGUACACAGCAUAUAUCAAAAUGCCUGGGAUUCUCUCUAGUGGCUUCCUGACUAGAGUGAGUGUGACAGACUGCAUUGUUACAGUUGUCAUGACACAUACAGGAAAUACUCUGUGUGGGAUCAUUGAGAGUCAUGGCAUUUGUAAUCUUCAGAAGAAUCUAGAAGAAAGAAAUCUCACAUUUGGAAAAUUGUCCAAAAAAGACAGCAUUAAGAAUAAUACCUGGGGGAAUAGAGUAUAGUUGAUUUACAUUGUUCUGUUAAUUUUAUAUAUGUAUUCUUUUUCAUAUUCUUUUCCCCUGUGGUUUAUCACAGGAUAUUGAAUAUAUAGUGACUUGCCAGUAGGACCUGGUUGUUUAUACUUACUUUUAACUACGAUUUUACUUUAUAAGGUAGUGUUUACUUGCAUUAGAUGGUACUUUUAUGUUUAGAGAGACAUGAAAAUUUCAGAUUAUCUUGAGGAUGAAGUAGAUGAAGCUUUGGAUAUAUUUAUGGAAAAGACCCAUCUAGCCUGAAGUGAUGGGAACCCACUGUUCCUUUUUCCUAUGGAACCAAUUAGAAAUGAGAAAAAAAGUUUCCAAGUACAAAUACAUUUCAAAGAAUGUAUUUUGGAGAUUAAGAAUGGGUAUCAUUUUUUUUUCAUCUGAAGCUCUCCUCCAUAGAGCUGUCCAAGUUAGUUCCUAACAUAACAAGUAAAAUUAAGCUACUUUUCUUUGGCUCCCAGCUGUAUAUGGGAUUAAGUCUAACAGAUGGCUUUUCUCAGUAUGACUUGCUUCCACAGUUCUCUCCUAGGCAUCUUUUCUCCCUGUUUCCAUUAGAGCUUGUGACCAUACUGAACCUUUGUUUCCUUUUUUUUUCUUUUUUGGAUUUUUGUCUUUUCUGGGGCCGCAACUGCGGCAUAUGAAGGUUCCCAGGCUAGGGGUCUAAUUGGAGCUGCAGCCGCCGGCCUACGCCACAGCCACAGCAAUGCGGGAUCUGAGCCACAUCUGUGACCUACACCACAGCUAUGGCAAUAUGGGAUCCUUAACCCACUGAGCAAGGCCAGGGAUCGAACCCACAACCUUGUGGUCACUAGUCGGGUUCUUUAACCACUGAGCCACGACGGGAACUCCCAAACCUUUGUUUCUUAAGCACUUUGAUUUUUAAUAUGUUGUUUCUCUGGCAAACAGUAGUUUUCCACUGGGGACAGUUGUAACCUCUUAUACAAGUAGCAUUUAGCAAUAACUGGAGGCGUUGCUUUUUGUCACGACUAAGUGGCCCCUAUUGGCAUCUAGUGGGCAGAGGCCAGAGAUGCUAUGAAAUAAAUAUACUGCAAUGCGUGGAAGUGCUUCCUCUUCCUGCCCCUCAAGAAACACCUAUUUGUUCAAAAUGACAACAGUACUGAGAUUCAGAAACACUAAUGUGGAAUGAAUAUAUCCUCCUUCUAUACAUGAUGAAAUUCUUUUUGCCCUUCAUCUUUCAUAUCAGCACUUAUGUCACCUCCUACAUGAAGUCUCCCUGAAUUUAACUGAUUCCAUAUGUGCUUCAAAAAGUCUUUUAUCUCUCAUAUCAAAUAGAUACUAUUGUACUGCACUUACCCAUGCAGCUACCUCCCAUUAGACUAAACUAUUUAAGAAUAAGACUUAAGCGUAUUCCUGCCCUCAGAACCUGUCCAGCUUAUGUUAAGAUCUCAAAAAUUGUGGGCUGUUGAAUAAAUAAAUAACACCUGGGGUUGGUAGUGAUUUACUCAGAGUAGGUACUCAUCUUUUUCCCUGUUAUUAUUAAUUAUUAUUAUUAAUGUUAGACUUUAUGAUGAUUUCCGUCUUUUCCAAAAUGGACAAAGGAACUUAUGUACUCAUCGAAUAAGUGAGUUAUUACAUGUAAAUCAUUUGAGCAUUGACUGCCAUAGAGCAAGCGCUGUGUAAAUGUUAGUUUUAUUAUUUUUAAAUAUUGUUUAUUCCUAAUGUUUAUGGAUUUUAUACUGUAAACCUAACUGUAGAAUAUACAGUCAAAAAAAAUCAUAUCCCUAUCUGUGACUUAACGUGUCAAUCACUCCCCGAAUCUUUGCACUCAAUAUUUAUGUAACCUUCUCAGGGAAGUGUCUGUUUAUAAAUAGAAGCAAUGUUGUCUUAUUGUCAGUCUCAAAUGUCCUCUUUAGAUAUAUGUUAAAUCCAUUUUUAUAAGAAAAAAUCAAUAUGAGUAUCUUAAUAUUCAAAUCUCAAGUUUUAGAAGUUAAUGUGCAUGAAUAGUAUAGCGUUAGUCUAAUGGUAAAUAUUUCAUUUGUCUACAUUUAUGUUAUUGGACACUUGAGUUUCAGGCUAUCAAACAGCCUGGAUUUAUCUAUCAUUGUAUAACUAUAAGUAGGGACUCACACUCAUUUUCCUCUCUGGAUUUUUUGUUAAAUAUUAAAAGGGAUAUAAUUCGCGUCUACUUCCACCUCACCCAGACAAAACCACUAAAAUUAUCUUUUUAAUAGCAAACAGAGAGCAGCUGGGUGCUGUGUAGAAACAAGGUCAUGCACAUCAUUCUGUCCAUAAACAUUUAAGGCCAUGUGGUUAGAUGUGAUUGUGAUAAUGAACUCUAGAUGGUUAGGUAAAAUUUCAAGAUCUGACAUUAGUUUAUUGAACUAAUGGCUUGUGACAUGAGGAUAGGGACAAUUUAAAUGAGUUCAUUUCUAGCAAUCAUUUCAACAUCUCAAAAGCCCCCAACCUUAUCAGAAUGGUGAAUUACCUGAGUCUGAAAAUAUUAGGCAAAAAUAUAAUAACUACUCUCUAGAGAUGACUGCUUCUUCCUGGUUCAGUUAUGAGAAAAGAAAAUAAAACAGGUGAAUCAAGUGAAUAAAAUAGAUAAUCAAAUUCAAUGUGUCCGUAAACUCUCAAAUCUAUUCUUAUGUUAUCAUAAUUGCAUUAUCCAGACUGUGUGAGUAACCGAGCAGAAAUUCUUUUACCUUCAAUCCUGUUU